CAGCAGCCGCGGUAAUACGUAGGGUGCGAGCGUUAAUCGGAAUGACUGGGCGUAAAGGGUGCGCAGGCGGUUAGUUAAGACAAGUGUGAAAGCCCCGGGCUCAACCUGGGAAUGGCAUUCGUGACUGGCUAACUAGAAUAUGGCAGAGGGAGGUAGAAUUCCACAUGUAGUAGUGAAAUGCGUAGAUAUGUGGAGGAAUACCGAUGGCGAAGGCAGCCUCCUGGGUCAAUAUCGACGCUCAGGCACGAAAGCGUGGGGAGCAAACAGGAUUAGAUACCCCUGUAGUCCCUGUCUCUUAUAC
rnacentral:rRNA from 1 species